rnacentral:rRNA from 1 species
CCAAUAGCGUAUAUUAAAGUUGUUGCAGUUAAAAAGCUCGUAGUUGAAUUUCGGGAUCAAUACGUCGGUCGUGCUUCGGUACGUACUGGCGUAAUUGAUUUCUCCCUUCUGACGAACCAUGAUGUCAUUAACUUGGUGUCAUGGGAAAUCAGGACUGUUACUUUGAAAAAAUUAGAGUGUUUAAAGCAGGCUCACGCUUGAAUACAUUAGCAUGGAAUAAUGAAAUAGGAGGUUCGAUCCUAUUUUGUUGGUUUUUAGGAUCAACGUAAUGAUUAAUAGGGAUAGUUGGGGGCAUUAGUAUUCAAUUGUCAGAGGUGAAAUUCUUGGAUUUAUUGAAGACUAACUACUGCGAAAGCAUUUGCCAAGGAUGUUUUCAUUAAUCAAGAACGAAAGUUAGGGGAUCGAAGACGAUCAGAUACCGUCGUAGUCUUAACCAUAAACUAUGCCGACUAGGGAUCGGAUGAUGUUAAUUUUUUAAUGACUCAUUCGGCGCCUUACG